rnacentral:rRNA from 1 species
GACGAACGCUGGCGGCGUGCUUAACACAUGCAAGUCGAACGGACAGACAGAGAGCUUGCUCUCUUGAAGUUAGUGGCGAACGGGUGAGUAACGCGUAAACAACCUGCCCUUCAGAGGGGGAUAACAACGGGAAACCGUUGCUAAUACCGCGUACGAUUCAUGAACGGCAUCGUUUAUGAAUGAAAGGUGGCCUCUAUGUAUAAGCUAUCGCUGACGGAGGGGAUUGCGUCGGAUUAGCUAGUUGGAGGGGUAACGGCCCACCAAGGCAAUGAUCAGUAGCCGGUCUGAGAGGAUGAACGGCCACAUUGGGACUGAGACACGGCCCAAACUCCUACGGGAGGCAGCAGUGGGGAAUCUUCCGCAAUGGACGAAAGUCUGACGGAGCAACGCCGCGUGAGUGAUGAAGGUCUUCGGAUUGUAAAGCUCUGUUAAUCGGGACGAAAGAGUUCUGCGUGAAUAAUGCAGAAAAGUGACGGUACCGGAAUAGAAAGCCACGGCUAACUACGUGCCAGCCGCCGCCGUAA